rnacentral:rRNA from 1 species
CGUAUACGCCCUUCGGGGGAAAGAAUUUCGGUGAGGGAUCGGCCCGCGUUAGAUUAGUUAGUUGGUGGGGUAAUGGCCUACCAAGACUACGAUCUAUAGCUGGUUUGAGAGGAUGAUCAGCAACACUGGGACUGAGACACGGCCCAGACUCCUACGGGAGGCAGCAGUGGGGAAUCUUAGACAAUGGGGGCAACCCUGAUCUAGCGAUGCCGCGUGAGUGAUGAAGGCCUUAGGGUCGUAAAGCUCUUUCGCCUGUGAUGAUAAUGACAGUAGCAGGUAAAGAAACCCCGGCUAACUCCGUGCCAGCAGCCGCGGUAAUACGGAGGGGGUUAGCGUUGUUCGGAAUUACUGGGCGUAAAGCGCACGUAGGCGGAUUAGUCAGUCAGAGGUGAAAUCCCAGGGCUCAACCCUGGAACUGCCUUUGAUACUGCUAGUCUUGAGUUCGAGAGAGGUAAGUGGAAUUCCGAGUGUAGAGGUGAAAUUCGUAGAUAUUCGGAGGAACACCAGUGGCGAAGGCGGCUUACUGGCUCGAUACUGACGCUGAGGUGCGAAAGUGUGGGGAGCAAACAGGAUUAGAUACCCUGGUAGUCCACACCGUAAACGAUGAAUGCCAGUCGUCGGGUAGCAUGCUAUUCGGUGACACACCUAACGGAUUAAGCAUUCCGCCUGGGGAGUACGGUCGCAAGAUUA